rnacentral:rRNA from 1 species
AUGUCGGAUUAGCUAGUUGGCGGGGUAAAGGCCCACCAAGGCGACGAUCCGUAGCUGGUCUGAGAGGAUGAUCAGCCACACUGGAACUGAGACACGGUCCAGACUCCUACGGGAGGCAGCAGUGGGGAAUAUUGGACAAUGGGCGCAAGCCUGAUCCAGCCAUACCGCGUGGGUGAAGAAGGCCUUCGGGUUGUAAAGCCCUUUUGUUGGGAAAGAAAUCCAGCCGGCUAAUACCCGGUUGGGAUGACGGUACCCAAAGAAUAAGCACCGGCUAACUUCGUGCCAGCAGCCGCGGUAAUACGAAGGGUGCAAGCGUUACUCGGAAUUACUGGGCGUAAAGCGUGCGUAGGUGGUCGUUUAAGUCCGUUGUGAAAGCCCUGGGCUCAACCUGGGAACUGCAGUGGAUACUGGGCGACUAGAGUGUGGUAGAGGGUAGCGGAAUUCCUGGUGUAGCAGUGAAAUGCGUAGAGAUCAGGAGGAACAUCCAUGGCGAAGGCAGCUACCUGGACCAAC